GGAACAUGGCGGCGUGCUUAAAAUGCAAGUCGAGCGGACCGACGGGAGCUUGCUCCCUUAGGUCAGCGGCGGACGGGUGAAAGAGAGGUGGGUAACCUGCCUGUAAGACUGGGAUAACUUCUUUGAAACCGAGUCUAAUACCGGAUGCUUG
rnacentral:rRNA from 1 species